UCCGUAGGCGGGCAGCUAAGUCAGUGGUGAAAGUCUGCAGCUCUACUGUAGAAUUGCCAUUGAUACUGGUUGUCUUGAAUUAUUAUGAAGUGGUUAGAAUAUGUAGUGUAGCGGUGAAAUGCAUAGAUAUUACAUAGAAUACCAAUUGCGAAGGCAGAUCACUAAUAAUAUAUUGACGCUGAUGGACGAAAGCGUGGGGAGCGAACAGGAUUAGAUACCCUGGUAGUCC
rnacentral:rRNA from 1 species